GCCAAAUUACCCAUGCCGAACCACUGUGUCGCAAGCACAAUAAGCCAUUCGAGUAUAUUCAUCGCCCACGCAAAGCAGGUUCAAUCCAAAAGUUCAAAGGCAAGAAAAUCCAACUAAAGCCUGGAAAGUACAUUCUCCGUGACUGCGAAAGAUCAUCCGCAGCACCACCAGAG